AUUGAACGCUGGCGGCAGGCCUAACACAUGCAAGUCGAACGAGUGGCGGACGGGUGAGUAAUGUAUGGGAAACUGCCUGAUGGAGGGGGAUAACUACUGGAAACGGUAGCUAAUACCGCAUACCAUCAGAUGUGCCCAGAUGGGAUUAGCUAGUUGGUGGGGUAAAGGCUAACCAAGGCGACGAUCCCUAGCUGGUCUGAGAGGAUGACCAGCCACACUGGAACUGAGACACGGUCCAGACUCCUACGGGAGGCAGCAGUGGGGAAUAUUGCACAAUGGGCGCAAGCCUGAUGCAGCCAUGCCGCGUGUAUGAAGAAGGCCUUCGGGUUGUAAAGUACUUUCAGCGGGGAGGCGUUACCCGCAGAAGAAGCACCGGCUAACUCCGUGCCAGCAGCCGCGGUAAUUC
rnacentral:rRNA from 1 species